CCUGGUAGUGGGGGAUAACGUUCGGAAACGGACGCUAAUACCGCAUACGUCCUACGGGAGAAAGCAGGGGACCUUCGGGCCUUGCGCUAUCAGAUGAGCCUAGGUCGGAUUAGCUAGUUGGUGGGGUAAUGGCUCACCAAGGCGACGAUCCGUAACUGGUCUGAGAGGAUGAUCAGUCACACUGGAACUGAGACACGGUCCAGACUCCUACGGGAGGCAGCAGUGGGGAAUAUUGGACAAUGGGCGAAAGCCUGAUCCAGCCAUGCCGCGUGUGUGAAGAAGGUCUUCGGAUUGUAAAGCACUUUAAGUUGGGAGGAAGGGCAGUAAAUUAAUACUUUGCUGUUUUGACGUUACCGACAGAAUAAGCACCGGCUAACUCUGUGCCAGCAGCCGCGGUAAUACAGAGGGUGCAAGCGUUAAUCGGAAUUACUGGGCGUAAAGCGCGCGUAGGUGGUUCGUUAAGUUGGAUGUGAAAUCCCCGGGCUCAACCUGGGAACUGCAUUCAAAACUGACGAGCUAGAGUAUGGUAGAGGGUGGUGGAAUUUCCUGUGUAGCGGUGAAAUGCGUAGAUAUAGGAAGGAACACCAGUGGCGAAGGCGACCACCUGGACUGAUACUGACACUGAGGUGCGAAA
rnacentral:rRNA from 1 species